rnacentral:pre_miRNA from 1 species
UGUUUAGUGUAAGUAUGUCCCAUUCACUAUUUGAGAUAUACUUAUACUAAAA